rnacentral:rRNA from 1 species
AGAGUUUGAUCAUGGCUCAGAGCGAACGCUGGCGGCAGGCCUAACACAUGCAAGUCGAACGAACUCUUCGGAGUUAGUGGCGGACGGGUGAGUAACACGUGGGAACGUGCCUUUAGGUUCGGAAUAACUCAGGGAAACUUGUGCUAAUACCGAGUGUGCCCUUCGGGGGAAAGAUUUAUCGCCUUUAGAGCGGCCCGCGUCUGAUUAGCUAGUUGGUGAGGUAAUGGCUCACCAAGGCGACGAUCAGUAGCUGGUCUGAGAGGAUGAUCAGCCACAUUGGGACUGAGACACGGCCCAAACUCCUACGGGAGGCAGCAGUGGGGAAUCUUGCGCAAUGGGCGAAAGCCUGACGCAGCCAUGCCGCGUGAAUGAUGAAGGUCUUAGGAUUGUAAAAUUCUUUCACCGGGGACGAUAAUGACGGUACCCGGAGAAGAAGCCCCGGCUAACUUCGUGCCAGCAGCCGCGGUAAUACGAAGGGGGCUAGCGUUGCUCGGAAUUACUGGGCGUAAAGGGAGCGUAGGCGGACAUUUAAGUCAGGGGUGAAAUCCCGGGGCUCAACCUCGGAAUUGCCUUUGAUACUGGGUGUCUUGAGUAUGAGAGAGGUGUGUGGAACUCCGAGUGUAGAGGUGAAAUUCGUAGAUAUUCGGAAGAACACCAGUGGCGAAGGCGACACACUGGCUCAUUACUGACGCUGAGGCUCGAAAGCGGGGGAGCAAACAGGAUUAGAUACCCUGGUAGUCCACGCCGUAAACGAUGAUUGCUAGUUGUCGGGAUUGCAUGCAUUUCGGUGACGCGCUAACGCAUAAGCAAUCCGCCUGGGGAGUACGUCGCAAGAUUAAACUCAAAUGAAUUGACGG